UGAAUACGAGAUGCUACGGCGUCGAAGCAGUGUAUGUCAGACUUCCAAGAAAAGCUCGCAAUGUCAUAAAUAAAGAAUGCCUGUACCAUAACCGACACAGGUGGGUAGGUAGAGUAUACUAAGGGGCGCGAGAUAACUCUCUCUAAGGAACUCGGCAAAAUAACUCCGUAACUUCGGGAGAAGGAGUGCCUUCUUGAAGAAGGUUGCAAUACAAGAUCCAAGCAACUGUUUAUCAAAGACACAGGUCUCCGCUAAGUCGAAAGACGAUGUAUGGGGGCUGACGCCUGCCCAGUGCCAGAAGGUUAAAGAAGCUGGUUAGCAAUAGCGAAGCUGGUGACUGAAGCCCUGGUGAACGGCGGCCGUAACCAUAACGGUCCUAAGGUAGCGAAAUUCCUUGUCGGGUAAGUUCCGACCCGCACGAAAGGCGUAAUGAUUUGGAUACUGUCUCGGAGAGGGACUCGGUGAAAUAGACUUGUCUGUGAAGAUGCGGACUACCUGCACCAGGACAGAAAGACCCUAUGAAGCUUUACUGUAACUUGAAAUUGAAAUUGGACUUUAUUUGCGCAGUAUAGGUGGAAGGCGUUGAGAUUACUCUUGCGGGAUUAGUGGAGCCAUCAGUGAGAUACCACUCCUAUAAUGUUAGAUUUCUAACUUUGGAUCAUAAUCUGGUCAAAGAACAGUUUCAGGCGGGCAGUUUGACUGGGGCGGUCGCCUCCCAAAAUGGUAACGGAGGCGUACAAAGGUUUCCUCUGAACGGGUAGAAAUCGUAUCUAGAGUGUAAAGGCAUAAGGAAGCUUGACUGUGAGACCUACAAGUCGAGCAGGGACGAAAGUCGGUCUUAGUGAUCUGACGGUGCUGAGUGGAAAGGCCGUCACUCAACGGAUAAAAGUUACUCUAAGGAUAACAGGCUGAUCUCCCCCAAGAGUUCACAUCGACGGGGAGGUUUGGCACCUCGAUGUCGGCUCAUCGCAUCCUGGGGCGGUAGUACGUCCCAAGGGUUGGGCUGUUCGCCCAUGAAAGCGGUACGCGAGCUGGGUUCAGAACGUCGUGAGACAGUUCGGUCCAUAUCCGGUGUAGGCGUUAGAAUAUUGAGAGGAGCCUUCUUUAGUACGAGAGGACCGAGAAGGACAUACCUCUGGUGUACCAGUUAUCGUGCCAACGGUAAACGCUGGGUAGCUAUGUAUGGAGAGGAUAACCGCUGAAAGCAUCUAAGUGGGAAGCCCACCUCAAGAUGAGUAUUCUCA
rnacentral:rRNA from 1 species